rnacentral:misc_RNA from 1 species
UCCGUUCUCGCAGCUACCUGUCGACUUCCGGUUGUCAUUGGUUCUGUUGGUGAAAAAUGUAUAAAUAAAACGGGUCAAAUUUUCUGUCAAACUGGCUGUCAGCGAACUUGAUAUUCAACAUACGUACGUACUAUAUAUAAAUUAGCCAGUGAACCAUUCGGAAGAUCUCGUAAUGAUUGGAAACAACGGGAAAAUAGCAGCCAAAAUAAAGCUGUUGUACCCUUAGCCUCUGUGGUACAGUGCUACAUAUAAGAAGGGUACAUUCGGAGCUUCGAGGAAAACGGGUGGACAAGCGACGGCGGUGGUCUGCUUUAUUAUUGCAUUACAUUUGGCUGUAACAACAAGCGGGAGAAUGAAUAAUGAUAAUAAUAAUGAUAAUAAUAAUGAUAUAACAAGGCACAGGACGAGAGACUCUGCGUAAACAACGACCCAGUGAAGGAGAAAUCCAGCUUCGAAAGAGCUAAUUACAAAGAAGAAGAAGAGAAAUGUGUGAUAAUUAAUUCAUCAUCUGUAGUUAAACGAAGAGAAAGUAAUCACAGCAACAUCAACAGUAACAAUAAUUUGACUGAGUGAACAUAUAUUCCUAUGUGCAUUCAUUGCAUCCAGUUUUUUGGAUAAAAAUAUAUGGGAUCGCGAGAAAUUAUGGCAAGCAAACAUUGUCUUAUGCCGAACCUAAACACUUUAAUUAGUGUUUACAUAAUGGGAAAGUAAAAACAAUUAAUCGACGGAGAAGUUAUUUUUUGUCAAACCAGUUUUGAUUUUAGAUGCUGGUUGCAGUUUGUGUUUACCAUGUCUGAGGAUAAAGAAAAAUACUUGAGUCCAGAAUGGUGUAUGGUGGACGAUCAAGGCCAAAGAUACAUGUUGCCAAAGACAAUGAUAUUUAUGGGUCAUGAAGAAUGUGAUUUUAUAAUAGAGGGUAGCAGUGUAGAUAAGCGGCAUGCUGUGGUAACUUUCGAUCACUAUCUCAACAAAUUUAAGAUAAAGGAUUUAAGUACCAUUCAUGGGACUUUCAUAAAUGAUGUACGAAUUCCCGAACAAGAAUAUAUAACAUUGGAAGAAAAAUAUACAAUACGCCUUGGAUUUUCUCAGUCAGUAUAUUAUAUAGAACAGGUAUUUGAUACUCCAUAUAAUGUUGAAGAGGAAAACGGUUCCCCUGAUAAAAUAACUACAUGGCCUUCAAAUUCUCAUGAAACAAUGGAUGAAGUUGAUCUUGCCUAUUAUGGAAUGUCAUUUAAUCCAUAUAGUUAUAAUCCGGAAACUGUAAAUCAAGAGGCACCGAAUCAUGAAGAAUUUGAAGAGCAGCAAAGGAGCAAUGGAAAUCUUCAGCAGAAUUACGAGAGCAGCUAUAAUGGAUACAUAUCAAACGAUCCCAAUCAUACGUGGCCUAGAAAGAGGCGUCCAAAAAGCUGGACAUCUCAGUCAAAUUAUAGUUCUCAGCUUGCUGAGGAGAAGAAAAGAUCUUCUUACCAUGUAGAGUCCACUGUUGAUGCUGAGCAGGACUAUCUCAACAGUAUUCCACCGUCCAUAAUGAAGCCUUCACAUUCUACUCUUGGAAAUUUACAAAGCCAAAAUAAUAAUCUUUCAUACACAAAAAGUGACUUUGUUUCUAUGGAGGGUGUACCAUCAGCUCCUGAAAAGACACAACCACCAGUGAGUCACAAUAACCAGAUUUCAGUGAAAUCUCCUUCAUACUCCGAGGCUGGUGGAGCAAAUGAAAAUAAUACCUACCGAACUAGAAAUGAUAUAACUAGAAUUAAAAAGGUUACACCUCUUUAUGGUCAACCUUCCUGGUGGGGAGAACCAGACAUAGUUGAGAAUGACCCAGUGGAUUCUUCAAACAGCUCUCAAAACCAAAAGAAGAAAUGCAAUGAUAGUGAAACAUCUGACAAACCCACAAAACCUGGAAAUUUAGCAGUGUACAAUCUUCAAACUGAUACAUCACAUAAUCUAGAAAAAUAUAAAAACGACCCAAAAUACGCCUGUACAUAUAUGGAGAUUUCUCACAGAGAUUUUGAACUGGAAAACAAUAGCGCUUGUCGUGGAAGCCUUUCGUCGUCUAUAUCCAAAGAUAGUCUAGUGUCCCAUGAUAGUCGAAAGGGAUCGCUUGAAAUUUCAAGUGACCAUGGUAAGAAACAAUCUUCAUCGGAAAGAGAGUUAUCAGUGGAGAAAACAGAACCAGUCAAUAAAGUUGCGGAUGCCGGUGGAACAGCUUUUACCGUUGAAAUUGGUGAACAAAAACCGAGGAAAUGGAAUAGUUUAAGUGAAUUUAUGCCAUCCAAAAUUCGGCGGAGUUUCCGAGAACGAUCUGAACGGGCAAUGAAACAGUCUACUAAAGAUGGUACAGCACCAAAAUUUGUGGAAGCUGAUUCUCCCCCUGAACAAGCAAAAGAUGGAGAAAUUUUGGGUGAAAAGGGGAAAGCAAAAACACCUAAAGCUAGUCAAUCCAGUGAAGGCGAAGAAGAAAAUCAUUCAAAAGAAAGAAAGGUGAUGGAAAACAACAAAAUUUCUCCGUCAUCUUUUCAAACCUAUAAGCCUGCGAGUCAUCAGAAUGACAAUGAAGAGAUUUCGCCACCAACAUGUUCUGGUGCUGCAUCAUUCCUUAUCAACAAGAUGUUUCAAGGCAGUAAUUGCCCAGCCAACGUCAAUCCUGCAUCGACAUCUCCUCCUUCUGAUUAUUGCCUCAUUCCUGGUAGCGGAGCUCCUGCGUCAACUGGGAAAUUCUUUGACCCGUCAACAGAACAAGAUCGCUACUAUGAUCAGAAAAAUUUGAACGGAAACAAAUACUGUGAGACGACAGAUAAAACUUGUACAGACAGUUCUCCCGAAGCUCAAGAUCUCGAAGCAAUAGAAGACAAACUCAGCGAAGCCGGAACCUACACUAUUGAAGGUGACCAAGAAGCUAAAGAGGAAGAAGAAUUGGCCAGGAAAAGAAUUGACAAUGUGUUUGGUGUUGGCCAAAAUAUACAAAGACCUAUAAUAGUUGAAUUAAAAAACUUAGAACAGGACUCUUCUACAUUAGGAAAAGAAUCUAGUGAAAUGAAUCAUGUUGGAAAAUUUUUAGAAGAUUCAAAGUUUUAUUUAAAUAACGGUAGUAAUAAUAAUUGUUCUCCAGAAGCAGAUGUAGAUCAAAUGGAAGAUAUAGAAAAUUUAAAAGAUAUCUCGCCUGAAUCAAAUACAUGUGAUAUAAUUCCACAAAACUCAGAGAAGACAUUGGCAGAAUCUGAAUUUAAACCACAAUCUGAGUCAAGUGGAUCAUCUCCAUUGGUAUCCAAGCCUCCUUUGGGAUGUCCAAGAAAACGAGCGGGUACAGGAAGAAAACUGCCUUCAUUACCCGCUGAAUCUGGAGUGCCUCCAAGCAGCAAACCUCAAAAGCAAACUACUCCUCAAAAGAAAGAGGAAAAAUGGACCUCCUCUGAUGUUGGCAAGAAAAAAAAAUCGUUUUUAACUUCGAAUCAGAGCAAUGGUGGUAAUCGAACAAGAAGUAAAGUUGACACAGACCAUGAUACAGAUAGAUUGUUAAAAGAUACAGAAACUGCCAUGGCUGCUCUGGAAGCUAGAGUGACGAAUCCUAGCAUAUCACAAGGCACUGAUGGGUCCGAGUCAGAUGUUUCUUCAAAUACAAACUAUAAUUUUAGCAAAAACAGUGCACUUCGCUCUAGCAAUCGGAGCCUUUCUGAUCAGCCUAGUAGUCGUAAAUCUUCAUUCUCUGAUAAUGCAAAACCAAAAGCUUCAUCCAAAAAUGUAAUCAAUUCCAAAGAGAGGAACCCUCCAAUUCAAAGAAAUUAUUCUAAGGGAAGUGAGAAAGGGUCAAUAAGUUCAGAUAUUACAAGUGAAUCUGAAGCCCUUGAAACUAUGAGCAAUAAUUCUGACUUUAGUUUGGAAUGUGGUAGUGAAGGAGAUGGUUAUAACCGCCGUGGCUCCAAAGGUAAAGGUGGCAUUUCUAUGACCAGACCAAACAGAGCAUUCCAACUUAGACAAGCAAAAGCUCGUGGUGCUGAGGUAGUGGAUAAACCCCCACCUCAUUCUGGGAGUGGUAGGGGAACAUCAUUAAGUAGUACAGUUUCUAAAGCUAGUAUGGUUAAAGGUAAGGUUAAAAGAGUCAAUUCUGUAAAUUUGCCUGCGGAAAGAUUAUCAGAAACUCAACGGAGUACUGGUCUUAGCACAGAAUCCAUCCACAAAAGUUAUGAAAACAUUAAAGGGAGUUCAAAUUUCAUGAGAACUGAUGGUGGACGGUACAGUCUUAGAGUCAGACGGUCUGCUUCUACUUCUACUCCAAGAAACUCCAAUGAAUCAUCGCGUAUAAGAUCAGAUUUAAAAUCAACCAAAUCACAGCUGAAAGCUGCACAUAGCACACCCGGACUGAAUAUUGUCAGCCUUUCUAGUAAAAGUAAUUCACAGCCGACUAGUCGUUCAAAUUCUCCAAGAUCUGUUGAUAAAAAUAAUCUGAAGCGACGUAAGGAAUUUAACCAACGACAGCAGAAAUCUUCAACGGGCAAUUUGAGUUCAGGAUCUUCUACCGACACGAAAAACACAAAAACUCAAGGGUCAGCAUCUAAAGCUGAAUGUUCUGAAGUGUCGAUAAAUAGUCGAAUGAUUCGGUCUGCAUCUUUGGAGUUGUCGAAAUACAAGAACUCUGUAGAUGCAGUCUCUUCACAAAAAAGUUCAUCAAGAUCGUAUCGAGAUGUAUCCAAUAUUGGUGAAGAUCGUAUCAAAAGUGGUUUUGUACCUUACAGUGGACUAGGAACAUUCCAAAGUUGCCUUCGCCAUCCAGAGGAAUUUGAUUAUGGUAAUGAAGAGAGGUUACUACUUCCGAAAUCUAUGCAGGACAUCAAUAAGAGCUCUUUAACAACUUAUUCCUACCAAUCUGCUUUUGCUCCUGCAUCUAAGCGAAAACCAUACACAUCAAAUCUCCAGUCUUCUUUUUCCACUCUGCAGUCAUCUUGUAGGAAUUCUUCUUUGCUAAAGAAGGAUGAUGUUCUUGCGAAAAAGAGAGAAUUGUUCAACAGCAGGCAGGAAACUCUACCGUUGGUCAUUGCACUCUCACCAGUGCAUUUAUAUAAACUCUUAGGUUCACAGCUUUCCACGGAUAUGAGCCUGAAUGAAAGGUCAUAUGACAAUAUUAUUAUUUCCUCUAUUUAUCAACUGUCGUUGAAACUGAAAACUGCUACAGAUAGGACUAUUCAAAAAUUGAGAGAAAGUAAUAAAGUCAGUCAGACACCAUCUCCCGUGGAUGAUUAUUUAACUGAUCCAUCGUCUAGUGAAAUGCCAGCUUGGAAAAGUGCUAACCAAGAACUUGCAGCGAUUCUUUGUAUAUUAAGGAAAAUAGAACAUCGGAUUCAUGUUAUUGACCGGGUGCUCUUCCCAGACAAAGAUAAUGGAAUUGAUUCUGAUGGCCUUACCCAACGUGAAAAACAGCUUUAUCUGCAGGAAAUAGAAAGGAUACGAACAGAGAUUGCAGGCUUCCAACCAAUCGACAAUCCAGAAGAUAAAAUGUGGAAAAAAAAGCAAAGGCACCCGCAAGGAAACAGUUCAACAUGCCAUGCUAUUGGCUUAACAGAAGAAGAGCUAUUCUAGAGAGACUUUCUCUUAGUUAAGAUACCCAGGCUAUAUAUAUAUAUAUAUAUAUAUAUAUAUAUGUAUGUAUGGUGUGUGCAUGUAAAAUUUAAUGUUUCAGAUUUGUGAUCCGUUCAUUUUUACAUUCACUGCCUUUAAUUUGCAUUAACGUCAUCAAUUAAUGUAUUUCUGUUAAUAAUUUAUUUAAAA